UCACAGACAGCUAGUAAGGGUCUAAGGGACAUUUGAACUUGGGACUUGUUGGAGAAUGUCUCUCCCACUUGAUCCCAGUUGCCUGCUUCUCUCAGGUUUUUCCAUAUUACUCUUCAUCAUCUGGGCAGCGAGGUGGUGCAGCGGAUAGAGCGCCAAGUUGGCCCUUCCCUGAAUCCAGAUCUGGCUUCAGGUGCUUACCCAGCCGUGUGACCCUGGGCAAGUCAGGUCAUUGAUGCCAUGAUGGCGCCAAACUUGGACUCUGGAAGCCCCAAGGUGGUGUUAGGAAGAAAUUUGUCCGUUCAUCAAUGCAGCGCCUGGGACAAUGCCCUGGUCACCCGAUCCGAGUUCUGUCCCCGGGUAGGAAAGGCAUCAGUACAUCAAUAAUACAAGAAAAAGAAACGUGGGGAAUGAUCACGGCCCAAGAAGAAUCUGGAGUCAGAUGACCAGAGUUUCAAACCUUGGCUCAGCCACAAGACUUGGGCCUAAGACUCCCCCUGGCCGGGUCUCAGCUUUUAUUUCUGGAAAAUGAGGGCAUUGGAAGAGCUGACGUCCAGAGUCCCAGCUAAAUCACAUGAGCCCAUUUUUCUUUGCCCCCCAGGAAGCAGAGUGCGUAGGAGGGCAGAUGAAAGGGCUUUGUUGUGCCAGUUUCUAGGGCCGGGGAAGAAAGUACAAAAUGGGCUUCGUGCGUGAAAGAACCAUUUAAUGAGACAGUAAAAAUUCCUUUGGCCUGGCAGGUUUAGCUCUGGUGUUUCCCUCUGGGCUCCUGGGUUGGGGGCAGGGUGGAGGCUCACGGCUCCAGCUGGCCCAGGACAUCCCUCGGUCCCAGGAGGCUCUCCACAUUCCCUCCAAUAUACACCCAUCACUCCAGGUGCACAUCAGCGAAGGAGGCAAGGACGGGCCCAUAAAGGGAUGCUCCCUGGAAGAGAGUUACCUUUUCUUCUGCUUCUUAGGCGUGAGCCCGACCAGCAGCCAUGGGCAGGAGGUGCAGAGAUCCGCUGAGUUGGGUAUUUGAGGAGAGGGGAAAGGGCCACCUCAAGAGGUGGGAAGGGCUCUUCCUUGUGGGAGGUCUCCAGCCAAGGCUGGCCCUCCCUGGCCACCCGUGCUGUGGCAAGGUCACAAGAAGAAUCAUGAUGGCAAUAAUGACUGUGAUGGUAAAACGCCAACUCUUCGGAUCCUUUCAACAACUGGUGAGACAUGGAAUCUCAGAGAUGGAACAGACCUCAGAGAUCCUGCCUAGCACAAGCCAGACCGGACAAGAACGCCCUUUAGAACAGACCUGACACACAAUUAUCCAACCUUUGCCUGGAGACCUUCCAGCGAAUGAGAGCGAGGAGCUCUCCUUUACACCAGACCAAAAUCCAACCGAAAGGUCCAUAUUCUGUGGCUUUUUAAUGGUGGCAAAGAAUAGGACAUCGAGGGCACAUCCAUCAAAUGUCUGAAGUUCUGGUAUGUGAUUGUGAUGGAGUAAUAUUGUGCUAGAGGAAAUGACAAGGAGGAUCCUCCCAGAAAAACCUGGAAAGACACGGAUGCAGAACGAAGGGAGCGGAACCAGGAGAACAUUACGUAGUAAUGAGAACCUUGUAUGAUAGCUCUUCUCAAGAACACAGUGAUCCAAGACAGCUGUGAAGGGCUUAGGAUGAAAGCCCAGUCUCCACUGCAUGGGUCUGAUUGCAGAUAAAAAUGCUGCUUCUUUAUCUUUCUUAAGUUUUUAUCCAUUUUCU